rnacentral:rRNA from 1 species
UACGUAGGGUGCAAGCGUUGUCCGGAAUUAUUGGGCGUAAAGAGCUCGUAGGCGGUUUGUCGCGUCUGCUGUGAAAACUCGGGGCUUAACCCCGGGCCUGCAGUGGGUACGGGCAGACUAGAGUGCGGUAGGGGAGACUGGAAUUCCUGGUGUAGCGGUGAAAUGCGCAGAUAUCAGGAGGAACACCGGUGGCGAAGGCGGUGGUCUGGGCCGGCACUGACGCUGAGGAGCGAAAGCGUGGGUAGCAAACAGG